GAUGAACGCUAGCUACAGGCUUAACACAUGCAAGUCGAGGGGCAGCAUGAUUGAAGCUUGCUUCAAUCGAUGGCGACCGGCGCACGGGUGAGUAACACGUAUCCAACCUGCCGAUAACUCGGGGAUAGCCUUUCGAAAGAAAGAUUAAUACCCGAUAGUAUAGUAUUUCCGCAUGGUUUCACUAUUAAAGAACUUCGGUUAUCGAUGGGGAUGCGUUCCAUUAGAUAGUUGGCGGGGUAACGGCCCACCAAGUCAACUAUGGAUAGGGGUUCUGAGAGGAAGGUCCCCCACAUUGGAACAGGGACACGGUCCAAACUCCUACGGGAGGAAGCAGUGAGGAAUAGUGGGCAAUGGACGAGAGUCUGAACCAGCCAAGUAGCGUGAAGGAUGACUGCCCUAUGGGUUGUAAACUUCUUUUAGACGGGAAUAAAGUGGAGUAGGCAUACUCCUUUGUAUGUACCGUAUGAAUAAGGAUCGGCUAACUCCGUG
rnacentral:rRNA from 1 species